AGUGAUCCUGCGCCGAAGAUUUCCGGGGCUAAAACUUACUACCGAAGCUACGGCAUCAGUAAUGAUGGGUAGGGGAGCUUCCCAUACGGGUUGAAGCAUGACCGUAAGGACAUGUGGACAGUAUGGGAGUGAGAAUGUUGGCAUGAGUAGCGAGAUGUGGGUGAGAAUCCCACAGGCCGUAAACCCAAGGUUUCCAGGGGAAGGUUCGUCCGCCCUGGGUUAGUCGGGACCUAAGCUGAGGCCGAAAGGCGUAGGUGAUGGACAACAGGUUGAUAUUCCUGUACUACCGAUAACCGUUUGAGAGAAGGGAUGACACAGUAGGAUAAGCUAAGCACACUGUUGGUUAUGUGUGCCCAAGCAUUGAGGCAGUCAAAGGAGGCAAAUCCGCUUUGAUAAUGCUGGGAUGUGAUGGGGAGCGAAAUUUAGUAGCGAAGUAGCUGAUUUCACACGUCGA
rnacentral:rRNA from 1 species